rnacentral:tRNA from 1 species
CGGGGUGUAGCGCAGCUUGGUAGCGCACCUGCUUUGGGAGCAGGGGGCCGCAGGUUCAAAUCCUGUCACCCCGAC